GGGCCCGCACAAGCGGUGGAGUAUGUGGUUUAAUUCGAUGCAACGCGAAGAACCUUACCAGGGUUUGACAUCCUGCGAAUCUCUUGGAAACAGGAGAGUGCCUUCGGGAACGCAGUGACAGGUGGUGCAUGGCUGUCGUCAGCUCGUGUCGUGAGAUGUUGGGUUAAGUCCCGCAACGAGCGCAACCCACGUCUUUAGUUGCCAGCAUUCAGUUGGGCACUCUAGCGGGACUGCCGACCGUUAAGUCGGAGGAAGGUGGGGAUGACGUCAAGUCCUCAUGGCCCUUAUGUCCAGGGCUACACACGUGCUACAAUGGUCACCACAAUGGGUCGCGAACCCGCGAGGGGGAGCUAAUCUCAAAAAGUGGCCUCAGUACGGAUAGGAGUCUGCAACUCGACUCCUUGAAGUCGGAAUCGCUAGUAAUCGC
rnacentral:rRNA from 1 species